UAGGGAAUCUUCGGCAAUGGGGGCAACCCUGACCGAGCAACGCCGCGUGAGUGAAGAAGGUUUUCGGAUCGUAAAGCUCUGUUGUAAGAGAAGAACGAGUGUGAGAGUGGAAAGUUCACGCUGUGACGGUAUCUUACCAGAAAGGGACGGCUAACUACGUGCCAGCAGCCGCGGUAAUACGUAGGUCCCGAGCGUUAUCCGGAUUUAUUGGGCGUAAAGCGAGCGCAGGCGGUUAGAUAAGUCUGAAGUUAAAGGCUGUGGCUUAACCAUAGUACGCUUUGGAAACUGUUUAACUUGAGUGCAGAAGGGGAGAGUGGAAUUCCAUGUGUAGCGGUGAAAUGCGUAGAUAUAUGGAGGAACACCGGUGGCGAAAGUGGCUCUCUGGUCUGUAACUGACGCUGAGGCUCGAAAGCGUGGGGAGCAAACAGGAUUAGAUACCCUGGUAGUCCACGCCGUAAACGAUGAGUGCUAGGUGUUGGGUCCUUUCCGGGACUCAGUGCCGCAGCUAACGCAUUAAGCACUCCGCCUGGGGAGUACGACCGCAAGGUUG
rnacentral:rRNA from 1 species